rnacentral:lncRNA from 1 species
CUUGGCUGCUCAUAGAAGCCAACAGCUGGUUUGAUACACCCUGAGCCUUGUUACCUCAAAUCUGCUCUUGGGGAAGUGGAUUCACUCUGAGGAAUGGGCGGUUUCUCAGCCUGUAUGACCGCAGGUCAGACCCUGGUCAUGGGAAGUGGAAGCGGUGACUGCCUCCCUGGGACAGUGUCUCCUGUGAGCUGCAUCUCCAAACUUGAUUUCCAUACCCUCCACUGCAGGAAGGGCAUUGGCUCCUCAGAGGUGACUGAAAGGCACCACUUAGACGUUCAUUCCACAGACUCAGCAGACAGCUUUCUUACAGCCUGAAGGAGUGUAAGGUGACUGGGGUCCUCCUGUGCUGGAAAAUGUAGCAGCAGGGACCCCUGGGUUCUCCCUGCCUGGUCCUGUUCUGGGGCCCACAGUGCAGAUGGCUUCAGCCUGCAGAGAAGACUUUAUUUUUGGUCAGUCUGUGGAGAAGAGUAAUGCCUUUUGGGACCACGAGGUUUUGAAGUAUGAAUGUGGUGACAUCUGGAAGGGGUAUGGGUGGCAGAUGGUCUCAAGCCACCCAGGCUGCCUUGGGUCUCUGUAGCCCAGCCUUGGGGCCCAGGCCUGCGUCUCCAUUCACUCUGUUCCACCUGCAUGUUGACACUGAGGCCCAUGUCCACCCACUGCUGCCUUUUCUGGCCUCUUGGUCCACCACUCAGCAUGGGCGAUCACGCGCACGUGCGGGCUCACAGUAAGCUGCCUCCGCCCACCGCCAGCACGGUGUGCACACCCAGAGGCACGCUGUCCCUUUUAAGGGCGUUUUCCAGUUGAGCUGUGUCUGCCAAGCGGCCUGGAAGUCUUUCUCUGAAUGGGCUCAGAAUGAAUCAUGUGGAACAUCCCCUGACCUCAGUUUUGAGCCCAUCCUCCCCUCUGGACGUGCCUUCGCCUCCCGCUCUUAGCAGCAGGUGCCCAUCUUACGCCCCUGCUGCCGUCUGUCACAAGUGGUUAGUGCCGCCCGUAGUGGGAGGUUAGGAAGGCUUUGCA